ACUGAACCAUCAUCAAUCUAGGGUUAGGGUUUCGUUACAUACCUUUGAACCUCCAAUCCAUGGCUACGGCGAAGGACCUUGACCGCAUCAAGGGCCCCUGGAGCCCCGAGGAAGACGAGGCGCUGCAGAACCUCGUCCAGAAGCACGGCCCCCGCAACUGGUCGCUGAUCAGCAAGUCGAUCCCCGGCCGGUCGGGGAAGUCCUGCCGGCUGCGGUGGUGCAAUCAGCUCUCCCCGCAGGUGGAGCACCGCCCCUUCUCUCCGGAGGAGGACGACGCCAUCAUCCGCGCCCACCGCCGCUUCGGCAACAAGUGGGCCACCAUCGCCCGCCUCCUCAACGGCCGCACCGACAACGCUAUCAAGAAUCACUGGAACUCCACUCUCAAGCGCAAGUUCUCCGCCGCCGCCGCGGAUCUGUACGACGCCUUCACCUCCGCCGCCGAUCGCGACUUCCUCCUCGGUGGCCCGGCCGGUCCGCCGCUCAAGCGGUCCAACAGCGACGGGCCGGCUCUCUCCGAUAUCGCCGCCGCAGGCUGCGGCGCCUUCAGCCCCGGUAGCCCGUCCGGAUCUGACGUCAGCGACUCCAGCCGCCAUAGCCUCCCGAUGAUCCCGCCGUUCUCCGCGGGGGCGGCGGCUAGGGAAGCUGUGGCAGCGGCGGAGAGGGAGGCUGCAUCCGCCGCCGCGGAAGCGGCGGCGAGACAAUCGGUGGCGGCCGCCGCCGCCGCCGCGCACGUGUACCGUCCUGUCCCCCGCACCGGCGGCAUCGUCCCCCCGACCACUGCCACCGCGAUGGAUAUCGCUCCGAUCACCACCGUCGUCGGUGCCGAUCCGAACACCUCGCUCUCGCUGUCACUCUCGCUCCCGGGAUCUGAUCCGGCGGGUCCCAGCGAUCAGCUCGCCAGCAGCAAGCCGAUCGCGAUCCAGAGCCAAACCAGGCUGCUGGAGAUGGCCUCUGCAGCGGUGGCGCAGGCGAUUCUGCCUCGGCAGCCUCCUGCUGCCGCGGCAGCGGAGAAGCGGGAGCCGCUUGCGUUCAGCGCUGACUUACUCGCGGU
rnacentral:misc_RNA from 1 species